ACCCACCCACUCCGCCGUGGCAGUGAAUGAGUUACUGCUGGUGCAGUGUAUGAGCCUGGUGCGCCCCUCCCUGGUUGGACCGCACGCCGCUGGUCGGCAGUCUGCAGACGGAUGUUGCCGCAUCCCGGCGCGCCGCGCUCCGCCACCAGGCUGCGUUCUUCUCCAAAUGUGCCAAAUCUCCUCCUCUGUUCUCCUGUCUCCGCCUGAGACGCGCACACACACGCACCGCCGACGCUCCUCUCCGGGUUCUAGUCACACAACUCUCCGCUAAAGUGGCUCAUCAUCCAGAACGGUUUCCCAGAGACUAUGGGUUGAGGAGGAAUUGGAAGUUUGUCGGCUUAGACCUGGUGUCAUUCCAUCAGUGUUAAACUUCCCGGCUCAUCUUGGAAGAGUAUGUGCCAGAAAGACCACAACCAAGCAGCCUUGAGAUCUUAGGCAGCGUCUCCCUGAGGUCCCUCUCUAUCUCCCCACACAUCCACCAACCACUGGAACACAUCUCCAAAGUUCUGCCGGGCCAGCUCAGCUUCUCCUCAGAAGAAGUGCCGCCACCUGCCAGAUGAAGGAGCCUUUUGAGAGUCAGCUGGCAUCAUGAUUGGACUGUACUUUGGUCUGUUCCAAUCCAGCUUCAGCUCCAGAGACGGCAGGCGGGACGAGUCAACGGAGGCCUGGUGGACGAAGGCAUGCAGCUGAGUACAAUCCAGAAAACAACAGAGGAGGAGUGCAGUGGCUCAGGGCCAGAACAACCAGAGUAGCAUCGUAUGUCUCUUAGAAAACAUCAUAGUAUAGCCUUUGGGAUGAAAAAAUGGCAUAAUAUACAUUGUAUAUUGUACAAAUAACAAGUCAAAGGAAAGAGACAUACAUUGUAGAAUUGUAGUAAUUGUGGGCUGACUGAUUUACUGAUUAUCAGUAUUUAUUUUUUACUGAUUUAUGGUAAUAAAUACAUUUAAAAAUGGUGCUACUUUGGCUCUGAACCUUAAUCUACCUGUGGUCGCUUUGUCUUCUGGAGUGAUUUGAUUGGUUAUACGUCACGAAUAAAACUCCCUUAACAUCUGUAAACAAAACAAAAACGUAUCAACAAAGUUUUCUGUUAGAGUUUGUUUAACUCCAAGAUUUCAAAUACUUUCAUUUACUGCAAAUGAAUAUCUACCCCAAAUGUCUCACUAAUAAUCAUUAUCAGCCUUAAAACCCACAAAACACCCCUCUAUACUCGACCACACUUAGUACAGUCCGGUUCCCCCUUCUAUAAAUCUGCUUGGAAUCUUCCACUUCCUGUUUGUCAAAGUGGCCUUCUACUUGGACAGGUUUUGUUGGAGCUCAUGCAACAAACAUUUUGGGUAACUACACUUUAAUAUGGAUGGAUGACACUGAAUUAGAGUCUGUUUUAAUGAGACUGAGUUAAGAUGUGUAGCUCUGUCAUUAAAUAGUAAAUUAUUUCUCUGAAUUCAAAGAGAAAAGUCUGAAAUGUUUGCUAGGUUAGCAUCCCACAUGUUCUUUGGCUCAGCUAAAGCUAACUCUCUCCAACUUCUGGAUCUCUUGAGUUGCUUGUUGUUAAAAUAUCUUGCUGUAGGUGCUGAAGCUCAGAAAGUCUGAGAUGUUUGUUCAAAAUAAGCUCAUUCUCAAGUCUUAUCUGAACUGUCCUCUUUUGUUUGAACUUUCCCUAAACUUAGGAGUUAAUGACAGAGCAGCACAUCCAGACUCCGUCUCAUUUAUGUAGAGAUUAAACUGCAGUGUCAUUCAUUGAUGUUAAAGUGCAGUUUUUCAAAUGUUUGUUGCACAUGCUCCCGACCAAACCAGUCCAGGUGGAAGACGAUGUGAAGAGAAAGCUCCAGAGGAUGAAUAUCACACAUUUACGUUGGAAAUAAAUGUCCUUUAAUUAGACAUUGUCAUGCAAAAGUUGGAUUUCCCUUUUAAUGAUGUUCAAAUCUUUGAGUGUUUUGUUGAUGUUGGUUUCUAAAUGUUUUCUGACACUCGGCCCCAAAGAUUAAAACCUUCUACGGCUCACAAGCUGCAACAAUUCACACAUUAUCAACUAUCUUUCUGACUAAACUAAGAUAAGAAGUGAAAAACUGUCUGAUUCCUGCAUCAUGAAUGUAAAUCUUUUUGGUUUUUAUGACAGUAAACUGAAUAUAUUUGGGCUUGACAUUUUGUAAACCAAAACAAGAAAUGAAUUACUGGAGAAAACGACAGAGUAAUGGACAAAGAAAAUGUGUUUUCUAAAAUAUAUGGCUGAAUUAUUCCAACAUUACAAGAUACAUACAAUUUUAAUUCAAUUUUAUUUAUAUAAUGCCAAUUACAGGUCAAAUUGUCUCAAGACGCUUUAUUUUUAUAUUUUUUGUCAUAUUUAAAAUAUGACUAAGAAAUUUAAACCUCUUGACUAAUCCAAUUCAUUAUUUGGUUUUUAAGAGACUAAUGGACAAUUAAAAUAACUUUCUCCACUAAAACUAAUAAACAUGAGGUCAAAUAAAAGGAACAGUUUUAAAUACUGCAGUCCCACGACGACAAGAAUAAAGUUUGUCAACAAAAACUAAAUUUGCUGGUGGAUUCCAUUAAAGUCCUAAUAAAUGAUAAUAAAGUGUGAUACUAAAGGUUUGUGGUGCUAAAAAUCUCCAAGAUAUCAGGUUGAUGCAGGUUAAUAAUAAAUAAAUAAAUAAUAAAUAAAAUUGAAUUAAAUUGAAUUGAUAAAAGUUGACCUUCUUUCAUUUCUCUGGAGCGACUCCAUGUAUUUUAUGGUGGUUAAAGACCUGCUCUUCUAGUGGUCUUCCUUCUAGUCACUGCAAAAAGUCAGUCCAUCCUGGCCGACUUCAACACCUCUUCAUGACAACUUGUUCUGCCUCCGACCUGGUGGAAACUCCAGAAACUCGGGAAAACCUGUCGAGACUCCAGGAACUCGUGGA